GUUAUAGGGUCAAGCGAACAAGUGCAUGUGGUGGAUGCCUUGGCGAUCACAGGCGAUGAAGGACGCGGUAGCCUGCGAAAAGCGGAGGGGAGCUGGCAAACGAGCUUUGAUCCUCCGAUAUCCGAAUGGGGAAACCCGGCCCGUAUGGGUCACCCAUGACUGAAUACAUAGGUCAUGUGGAGCGAACGCGGUGAACUGAAACAUCUAAGUAACCGCAGGAAAAGAAAUCAACCGAGAUUCCCAAAGUAGUGGCGAGCG
rnacentral:rRNA from 1 species